UACAGAGGUCCCAAGCGUUGUUCGGAUUUAUUGGGCGUAAAGGGUGCGUAGGCGGCGGAGUAAGUUGGGUGUGAAAUCCCGGGGCUCAACCUCGGAAUGGCAUUCAAUACUGCUUCGCUAGAGUACUGGAGAGGAGGCUGGAAUUUACGGUGUAGCAGUGAAAUUCGUAGAUAUCGGAAGGAACGCCGGUGGCGAAAGCGACGCACUGGACCUCUUCUGACGCUGAGGCGCGGAAAGCCAGGGGAGCAAACGGG
rnacentral:rRNA from 1 species